rnacentral:rRNA from 1 species
UACGUAGGUGACAAGCGUUGUCCGGAUUUACUGGGCGUAAGGAGCGCGCAGGCGGUCGAUCAAGUCGAGUGUGAAAGCCCCCGGCUCAACUGGGGAGGGUCAUUCGAUACUGAUCGACUCGAAGGCAGGAGAGGGUAGUGGAAUUCCCGGUGUAGUGGUGAAAUGCGUAGAUAUCGGGAGGAACACCAGUGGCGAAGGCGACUACCUGGCCUGUUCUUGACGCUGAGGCGCGAAAGCUAGGGGAGCAAACGGG